UGGAGUAACAGAACGGGAACUUGUGUC
rnacentral:piRNA from 1 species